rnacentral:rRNA from 1 species
CCUACGGGAGGCAGCAGUAAGGAAUAUUGGUCAAUGGACGCAAGUCUGAACCAGCCAUGCCGCGUGAAGGAUUAAGGCCCUCUGGGUUGUAAACUUCUUUUAUAGGGGACGAAAAAAGGGCAUUCUUGCUCACUUGACGGUACCCUAGGAAUAAGCACCGGCUAACUCCGUGCCAGCAGCCGCGGUAAUACGGAGGGUGCAAGCGUUAUCCGGAUUUACUGGGUUUAAAGGGUGCGUAGGUGGGUUGGUAAGUCAGUGGUGAAAUCUUCGAGCUUAACUCGGAAACUGCCAUUGAUACUAUCAAUCUUGAAUCAUCUAGAGGUAAGCGGAAUAUGUCAUGUAGCGGUGAAAUGCUUAGAUAUGACAUAGAACACCAAUUGCGAAGGCAGCUUACUAUGGAUGUAUUGACACUGAGGCACGAAAGCGUGGGGAUCAAACAGGAUUAGAUACCCUGGUAGUCCACGCCCUAAACGAUGGAUACUCGACAUUUGUGAUAUACUAUAAGUGUNUGNGNGAAGANAUAAGUAUACCACCGACGGAGUAACGACCGACGAGUUAGUAACGUUACAAGAAGUUAGUUAGCGNGNGAGNGCGACGACGACGACGAGGAGGAGGAG